ensembl:lncRNA
GUACAUGUCAACACAACAUGGUGCGGCUCUCGGGCCAUGGCUCAUAAAACCUACAAGCUCUCAGUCUCACGUCAGAAUUAGACUUUCACCCAUGUUUUCCAAACGUAACAUUUCAACUAGUUUAAGGUUAAGUUUAGGCAUAAACAUCAACUGGUUAAGGUAAGGGUUCAUGUUUGGGAUAGGCUUAAAACAAAAAUGUAAAAAACAACUUUCUAUUGCUGGAUUCAAACGGGCAACCUUUGGAAUCAGAGGCAGACACUUACUCGAAGGUAACAACGCUCACUGUUGCCCCGAGUGGCCGGUUUCCACGUCAUCUCCUGGCGUCCUCAGACAUGGAUGGACUUUGAAUACUGACUUGUAUCAGGGGUGACCUGCCUGUAUAAAACACCUGCAUGCUACAGGUGUGUAUAUUAUGUGGGUGAUCAACAUCAUGUAAUUAACAUUCAUCUCCUGCAGCUACUAAUGACAUUCAUAAUUGCCAACAUGAGGCAUGUUUAACUAGCAUAAGUUGUUUAAGUGUAUGCUUAGAGGCAAUGUGUUUGAAUGCUUUGAGGUAACACUCUCUUCCACAGUAUGGAAAACAGCCCUGUAUCUUGCCAACUCCAUUGAUCCCAAAAUGCAUCAGAUUAGCCGGGUGGCCACAAAGGGAAGGAAUUAAUAUAUAUAUAUAUUUACAGAAACGAUCAGCGGUUUACCGGCCAAAACAUCAGUUCAUGACUAUCAGGGUCAGGUGAGAUCUCAUCAUCGGGGUCUCCCUUCCCUACCUGUCCCUACCACAGGGGCUGGUAGCAGCGUCGGCGGUGACCAGGAGUGGUCAGCUAACCAUUUCGACCCAGGGGAGCGCUUCUGAAGAAGGGGGAUUACCUUGAUCCAGCCCCCGACACUCCAGACCCAAACAAAAGAUGGAACUCCUGAGCUCAGAGCCCCUCGGGCCCCCGGUGCGUUAAUCCCAUUCCAGCUGGACACAAUCCGUCUGGCCAGAGCCCACACUGAGGCACUAAGCUCCCAUAAGAGGCUUGGAGGAGAAGUCAGACAGCUCGUCAAGGAUGAGGACUUAAUUAGCCAUGCAAAGUCAACCUGGCUAAUUGAAAAAAUCUCAUCGAGUGGCGUCCCAAGAGAGGAGCGCGCUCUUGUUUACUUCGUCCCAAGGUGUUUUGUUGCUUUGUGCCGAGAAAUGCCAGAGAUGUGGAUGAGGUACCCCGCUGCUUCACACGUAGGCCGAGUCCAAAGGAAUUCUGAUGAGAGCCAAGGCUUUGCCAACAUACUGGAUCUUGGACUUCUACAGCUAGUCUGGCAUGACUGGAUUCAUCUAUGGGUCUCCCCUCAGACUUCCUUUCCCCUGGCCUCUAUGUGCCUGGGCCUCUCAGUCUAGAAUACGACACGCUGACUGACCCACAGCUGCAGAGCAGUCAUUCAGAGCUGUGAUGCUAAUGGCGUGGAUCUGCUAGGAGCUAGCCAAUCCUACCUCCACAGGGCUGGAGCCACCAGGGAGGUAAGUGACAACAGGGCUGUCCAGCCUAGUCCUCACAGAGUCAUCAAUCACAGGUGAAGACAAGGCACGCACUCAAAAAGCCAUUCAACAAGUUUCCUGAGACAGAGAAAAAAAUACUUAUUCUAACCCUUUUAAUUGUUUCAGUGGUAGUUCUACUUGCCUAUUCGGUGGCUGUGAGGUACUAUAGCAGCAAUGCCUUGGUGGUUGUCCCUCAAACAUCCAUCAAUACUGGCAUUAAUGCUCUGCAAAGUCAGGGUUCCACCAUGGUUAUUGCACAUCCUGCUUUCUCUCAUAAUACCUGCUCAGAAUCCCUUGGCACAUACUUUGUUAUCGCCCAAUAAUCUCUGUCCGCUUAAUAUCAAAUGCAAUGCUUACAGAAUCAGUUGAAAUAACAGCGGUGGUGUUUUAAGCAAUUAACCUUUUCGCUGUGUAAAUGGCUUCGGGGGAUAUGGGGGCUCUGUAAGGGCCCUGCUGGGGGAUGAAUGUCUGCCUAUCGCCCACCGGGAAACACAAACACCACGUUUCAGAGAGGCCCCAGGCCCUGACAGGAGAGAGUGAAAGAGUGAGAAAGUGAGUGAGAGAGUGAGAGUGAGCGUGAGAGUGACAGACAGACAGACAGAGACAGACAGACAGACAGACAGACAGACAGACAGACAGACAUAAUAAGAGAAAGAGAGAGAGAGAGAGAGAGAGAGAGAGAGAGAGAGAGAGAGAGAGAGGGAGAGAGAGAGCACGAGACAGACUGAGAAAGAGAGAGAGAGCCUCUGCGCAUCGUGUGCGAGUGCAUGGAGACGAGAGGAGAGGAAAUCAGUGUGGUCUCCAGAGGAACCCGUUGGGAGUUCAGUGUUGGCCCGCUGACAAAGGGUUGAGGGAGGGAGGAAAGGGGGGAAGAGGGAGGCAUUACUAAAUUCCAAAUCAGGCCCAUGCAGCUAGCGCACAUAAACACUCCAUUGUCCUUUGAUGUUGUGGGCUGCAGCCAGUCAGACAGCUAGUCAUACAUCACACAGCAGCUCUAGUAGCCCCUCCAACUACCCCCAAUACACCCAGAGGAUAAUAUUACAGACCCCCUCUUCUCCUACCCCCCCA